UUCCCUGUUGUUCAAGAGCACAUAUGCUCCAUCUUCAUCUUCCACAAAUUCAUUAAUUCAAUUUAUUUUAGUUUCUCUUGCCAUCUUAUCUGAUUUGGUCCCCUUUCCUAUGGGUUUCUAAAUUUUCUCUUCUCUUUUCUAACAUCUUUCUUCCCCAAUCACUCUCUUCAUUCAUCAUCACUUACGGUUUGUAAAUAUAUAUUUUUUAAUUUCAACUCUCUAUUCCCUCACCACGACACUGCCCAAUCCUGUGUUCUUUCUUUCCUCAUUACAAUCAAUGAUAUCUUCUUUUUCUUUGCUGAAGAAGCAUGCCAAGCUGUAUUUGAUGUCCCCCAUUUCAAAAUUCAAAUUUAAAUUCAUUUUUAUAUAUUCAUUUCAAGGUAAAUCAUAACCUCAACUAAUUCAUUCGUUCAAAACUCUAAUCCUAAUAAAAUCAAUGGAAUUUUCGGUGAGCAUCGGAUUGUUCAAGGUGCAUCCCUUGGUGAUGGUGAACAUCUCCGACCACUACACUCGCAAAAGUCUAAGCUCAACCUUUCCAAUCCAAAUUCCAGCGCUUCUUCCAAUUCCCCUGCUUCACGUAUAGUGGCGUCAUAGUUUGUCCAGAAGGGUUGCAUCGUCGUUUUCUUCAACUUCCGUAAUCUUCAUCAAUCCUCAUGGGUUUAAGAACUGUUCGGCAUUGUGCAUAGCGCCCUCAGCUCCACUUUGUUAAUUCUUUUGUUGUUCCUGAUAUCACACAUAAUCAAAACGCAUGUCUUCUGCGAACACAUCUUCCCUGCAAAAUAUAGAUAAAGUGGUCUUUCAUGUUCUAAGAUCUUUAAAAAAGGAUGCACAUAAUUAAGGAAAGAGAAUGCAUGAAAAGAUUAGGAAGGAAGCUCAUGAGAAGUUGAAGGUGGAAAAGGGUGAUGUUGUGCGCUGCAAUUAUCAUGAUGAAAGAAGCAAAUGAAGAUUCUCAUGGACAAGGUUGCACUUGGUGAUAUGGCUGAGCUUGCUACAACAAAGUAUGAUGUUGAUAAGUUACAUGAAGGAUAGCUUAGCACAAAAGGAUUAGGAGGAACCUCACCAAUUUUUCAGAAGCUUAGGCACUUGAGGACAAGUCGUCAUUUCCCUUAGGAAGCCCAAGUACAAUUUAGGCUUUAAGUCUUAGAAGAUACAUAAACUUCAUAAAUCCAGACAAGCAAUGUGGUAUCGUGCUUGCAACAAAAAAAUGUCGCUGAGAGAGUUGGGUAUUGGUGUGAAGGUUGCCAAAAAAAAAUGAUGAGCAAUGCAAUUUAAGGAAAUUCAACUUUUGAGAUCUUUAUUCUGAAAAAUUUUUUAUAUUAUAAAUUGUAGUAAAAAUUUAGUUUGUCUUCUUUGGAAUACAUUAUAACUGUAAAAGUUACUGAUGAUAGUUGGAGGAUUAUGUCUCAGUCUUCAAUGAAAAAGCUGAAAAGCUUGUUGGUUGUUUUGCGAAUAAGUUAGACACUUUAAAAACUUAGUUAAAUGUGUGUUUGGUUGUCUUUGUA